rnacentral:misc_RNA from 1 species
GAUGAAGAACGUAGCGAAAUGCGAUAAGUAGUGUGAAUUGCAGAAUUCAGUGAAUCAUCGAAUCUUUGAACGCACAUUGCGCCCCUUGGUAUUCCAUGGGGCAUGCCUGUUCGAGCGUCAUUUGUACCUUCAAGCUCUGCUUGGUGUUGGGUGUUUGUCUCGCCUCUGCGUGUAGACUCGCCUCAAAACAAUUGGCAGCCGGCGUAUUGAUUUCGGAGCGCAGUACAUCUCGCGCUUUGCACUCAUAACGACGAGGUCCAAAAGUACAUUUUUACACUCUUGACCUCGGAUCAGGUAGGGAUACCCGCUGAACUUAAGCAUAUCAAUAAGCGGAGGA